UUAAGUUCAGAGCUUACAUUCAUUAUGUCAUCAGGUGUUGAAAAAUAAUGACUUUGUAAUUCUGUUAUUCCAUAGCAUUUUUAAUAUUGGACUUGUGUAAAAAAGAACUUUCCCUCUUUCAAUAAUUUGGUUAUCUUUCAAUAUUUUUAUACCACAGAGCAGAGAAUAAGCAAAAAAGUUGCAAUAAGUAAUGCCCGUAGGUCUUGGAUCCAUGUGGGACAUCAUCCAGGGGAACCUGCCCUUGGUGUGUCCAGCCUGCACCUAGUGCAGCUGAAGGGCACUGGGAGGGCCUUUGUUCCUUGGGUAUGUUAAAUAAACUGGGUUGUGCACCUGCAUUUUCACUGUGACCUGUCAUGUGAAGUCAGGUGUGGAAUUUUCCACUUGUGGUGUUAUGUUGGUUCUCAAAAAGUUUUCGAUUUUGGAACAUUUCGGAUUUCAGAUUUUCGGGUUAGGGAUACUCAGCCUAUACCACGUGUUGUGGCCGGAUGCUUCACAUUUACUAUUAAUCAUGGACCAGGCUUGGUGGCUCACGCCUGUAAUCCCAGUACUUUGGAAGGCCGAGGUGGGCGGAUCACCUGAGGUCAGGAGUUCCAGACCAGCCUGACCAACAUGGUGAAACCGUCUCUACCAAAAAAUUUAAAAUUUGACAGGAGUGGUGGCACAUGCCUGUAAUUCCAGCUUCUUUGGAGGCUGAGGCAUGACAAUCACUUGAACCCAGGAGGUGGAGGUUGCAGUGAGCUGAGAUCGUGCCACUGCACUCCAGCCUGAGUAAGAGUGAGACCUUGUCUCAAAAGAAAACAAAAAAAAAACCAGUAAAACAAAAAACAAUAAACAAAAACAAAACAAAACAAAACAAAAAACAAGGUUAACGGAACCUCAUGAUUGGAUGAGAUGGCUGUGGGAAGCUGGGCUGCCCAGGAAGCGGACUCAGAGAGCAAACCGUGCGCCUGCCUUCCACACUGGAAGGGAGCGUCAGGAAGCCGAACUGCAGAGGGUACUGACGCAGCCCCAACACUUCUCCCCGACCUCAGGGGGGAUUCAGUAGCUGGAGAUUCCCGCAGCUGCCCCACGUUGGGGGUAAGGCUGGGCAUUUGUUCCUCCCCUAUUGUUCAGUCAUUGGCUGUGGGCGGCCCCAGGAAGAAGGUGUGACCUUGGGUGGGGCAGUCUUCUUCAGCCAAUCCUCAGAAAGGACUAACAGCACUCUCAGCAGAGGGAGACUGAGUCCUUCAUUCCUGGGAGGUGUCUGGGAAGCACAUCGCAGUGUGCACCGCAGCAGGUAUUAAUGUGUCAUUUUACAGAUAAGAAAACUGAGGUUCAGAAGGGACAGAGCCAGGAUGUCAGCCUAGAUCUAUUAAUACCUUUGAAUCCUGUGCUCUUUCCCACCGUCCUUGCUGCCAUUUCCGCACAUUUUCAUGCCUUCCCCACUUCUUACCGGGACCGCCAUGUUUCUGGGUAAUCUUGUACUCUCUGUUCUAGUCUUGCUCUCCUGUCCUGCCCCGGGCAGUCUGUCUCUUGGUCAGCUGUCUCUCUUCACCCCAGCUUUGGCUCUGUUCUCAGGGCUUGAUCCACCACAUCACAUUCCGCGCUCGCUGCUGCCUGAACUCAUCAAAGUGGACCCAGUGAAAGCUGUGUUGAGGAGGACUAUUCUGGUGCUGAGGCUGGGUACAUUCAUGAGGCCAGGAACACGGGAUUGAAUUCCAAGCAGAGCACCAGGAUACCCAGUUUGUGCUCCCAGACGUAAGAUCUCUUUGGCCAUGUAUGUGGGAUUCCCAUGAAGGAGAAGCUUCAUUUCCAGCAAGAAUCUGGCUUCCACCUAGACUUGGGAAACAGAUACUGAAAAGCAUAUUGCUGAUCAACUAGACAACCUACUUCCACUCUUGAUUGCCCCUGUAAUCCAUCUAGAACAGCCAGAGCAAUUUAUUUAUUAAAAAAUUUAAAAUUGGCCAGGUGCGGUGGCUCACGCUUGUAUCCCCAGCACUUUGGGAGGCCGGGGUGGCAGAUCACUUGAGGCCAGGAGUUAAGAUCAGCCCGGCCAACAUGGUGAAACCCUGUCUUUACUAAAAAUAGAAAAAGUUGCCAGGCAAGAUGCCUUACGCCUGUAAUCCCAGCACUUUGGGAGGCCAAGGCAGGUGGAUCACGAGGUCAGGAGAUGGAGAUUAUCUUGGCUAACACGGUGAAACCCCAUCUCUCUCUACUAAAAAUACAAAAAAUUAGCCGGGCAUGGUGGCACACGCCUGUAGUCCCAGCUACUUGGGAGGCUGAGGCAGGAGCAUGGCUUGAACCUGGGAGGCGGAGGUUGCAGUGAGCCGAGAUCGCACCACUGCACUCCAGUCUGGGUGACAGAGCGAGUCUCUGUCUCAAAAAAAAAAAAGAAAAAGAAAAAAGAAAAGAAAAGAAAAAAUUAGCCGGGCAUGGUGGUGCGUGCCUGUAAUCCCAGGUACUCGGGAGGCUGAGGCAGGAGAAUCUCUUGAACCCGGGAGGCAGAUGUUGCAGUGAGCCAAGAUCGCACCAUUGCACUCCAGCCUGGGUGACAGAGUGACUCCAUCUCAAUAAAUAAAUAAAUAAUAAGUAAAAUUUUAAAAUUAUUCAAAAAUUUAAGAUUAUUUAUAUGUGUUUUAUAGAAAGUCAGAUAUAGCAGGUAAGCAGAUUAAGAAAAUAAAAUCCUUAUAUUUCCAAAAGAUUAAGCUUUAAUAUAUCCUUCUAGUAUAGUGUGAGAUAUAUACUUCAUGUGUGUAUGUAUAUACAUAUAUACUUACCAGGUGAAAUUAUACUGUACAUGCUAUUUCAUAAUCAGAUUUUUUUCCAGUUAAUCUCAAUUUUACCAUGUUGAUACAUUUUCAUCUCUUCUAAUACCUAACCUCAAUUUCAGUUAUCCCAGUUGUUCCCCAAAUGUCCUUUCCAGUUGGUUUGUUCAAAGCAAGACCCGCCAGGCACACUGACUCACACCUGUAAUCCCAGCACUUUGGGAAGCUGAGGCAGGCAGAUCACUUGAGGCCAGGAGUUCGAAACCAGCUUGGCCAACAUGGUGAAUCCCUGUCUCUACUAAAAAUAGAAAAAAUUAGCAGGGUGUGGUGGCACACACCUGUAGUCCCAGCUACUCUGGAGGCUGAGGCAUGUGAAUUGCUUGAAGCUGGGAGACAGAGGUUGCAGUGAGUUGAGAUCAUGUCACUACACUCCAGCCUGGGUGACAGAGCAAGGCUCUGUCUCAAACAAACAAACAAACAAACAAACCAACCAACCAAAGCAGCCACACACACACAAAAAAACCAGAAACAAAGCAAGACCCAAUCUAGGUCCCACAUGACAUCUGGUUGUUGUUUCUUUUUAUUUUAUUUUUGAGACAGAGGCUUGCUGUCACCCAAGCUAGAGUGUAUUGGCGCGAUCUCGGCUCACUGCAACCUCUGCCUCCGGGGUUCAAGUGAUUCUCCUGCCUCAGCCUCCUGAGUAGCUGGGAUUACAGUCGCCCACCAUCACGCCUGGCUAAUUUUUGUAUUUUUAGUACAGACUGGGUUUCACUAUGUUGGCCAGGUUGGUCUUGAACUCCUGACCUCAGGUGAUCUGCCCGUCUCGGCUUUCCAAAGUGUUGGGAUUACAGGCAUGAGCCACCGUGCCUGGCCAGGUUGUUCUCUUUCAUAAUCAGUUUUAGAAUCAGAAAAUUUAACAUUUACUAUAAUAAUAUUAUCUAACCUAGAGACCAUAUUUAAUUGCCGCCAAUUUUCCCAACAAUAUCUUUUAUAGAAUUUUUUUUGGACGAAGAGCCAAAUUCAGAAUAAGGCAUUGUGUUUGGUUGCCAUGUCUCUUUAUUUUUCUUUAAUCUGAAUAGCUUGGCAUUCUUUGUAAAAAGAGCUUUCUCUUAUUAACUGGGGUGAUUUGGUUGUCCUAAAAUACAGUUUCUAGAACUAUGAUAACUAUAACCAGAAAAUGUAAUCUUUAAAAAAUAUAAACUAUAUAAUAUAACACUCCCCACUUCUCUCCAAAGCACUUCCCAGGUUAAAACCCUUGAAAGACUUCACAUUUCACACCCAAUAAAGUCCAAACUGCUUACUGUGCUGUGCAGGCUGAUCUAGCUCCAGGCCCUCAUUUCCUAUACUUUUCCUCUGCACUGACUUUGCUCCAGCCACAUUGGCUCCUUGCUGCUUCAGGGAUACAGUCAACUCAUUCCUGUCUUGAUGCCUUUGCUUUUGCCCUUCCUUCCAAUGAUUUACAACUAGGUCUUCACGUGUUGGCUUCUUCCAGUCACUGAAGCCUUAACUCCUUCCCUGACACUCAGUCUAUGGAGCUCCUCUCUGACAUAAUCUUGUUUUAUUGUCUUCACAACAUAUCUCACUGAAUGAAAUUAUCACAUUUAUUAGUUUUCUUCUUAAAUUUCUAUCUCCUUUUCAAAAAAUGUAAGCUUCAUGAAGACAUGGUUCUUUUUUUUUUUUUUUUUUUUUUCUGAGACAGAGCCUUGCUCUGUCGCCCAGGCUGGAGUAUAGUGGCGUGAUCUUGGCCCACUGCAACCUCCGACUCCCGGGUUUCGAUGAUUCUCCUGCCUCAGGUUCCCCAGUAGCUGGGAUUACCGGCGCAUGCCACCACGGCUAAUUUUUGUAUUUUUAGUAGAGAGGGGGUUUCGCCAUUUUGGCCAGGCUGGUCUCGAACUCCUGAGCUCAGGUGAUCCGCCCACCUCGACCUUCCAAAGUGCUGGGAUUACAGGCAUGAGCAACUGUGCCUGGCAGAAGACAUAGUUCUUGUCUGUUUUUUUUUCCUCUAGUGCCUAGAAUAAUUUUUUUGUUUAUGAUAAGUUCUCAACAAAUAUUUCUUGAAUUACAACAUAAUACUGGAAGUCCUAGCCAGAGCAAUUAGGCAAAAGAAAGAAAAAAGGACAUUCAAUUUGAAAAGAAGGAAGUAAAAUAGUCCCUGUUUACAGAUGACAUGAUUUUAUAUAUAGAAAAAUCAGGCCGGACGCAGUGGCUCAUGCCUGUAAUCCCAGCACUUUGGGUGGUAGAGGAUGGUGGAUCACUUGAGGUCAGGAGUUUGAGACUAGACUGGUCAACAUCGCGAAACCCUGUCUCUACUAAAAAUACAAAAAAAUUAGCUGGGCGUGGUGGUGCAUGCCUGUAAUCCCAGUUACUCAGGAGGCUGAGGUAGGAAAAUCACUUGAACCUGGGAGGUGGGGGUUGCAGAGAGCCGAGAUCACACCACCACACUCCAGCCUGGGCAACAGAGCAAGACUCUGUCUCAAAAAACGAGAAAAAUAUAAAGACUCUACUCAAUAAGUCUCAGAACUAAUAAGUGAAUUUAGUAAAGUUGCAGGAUACAAAAUCAGUAUUCAAAAACAAGUAGCAUUUCUAGACACAAACAAGAAAAGAAAUCAAGAUGGCACAAUGGUGUACGUCUGUAAUCCCAGCUACUCGGGAGGCUGAGGCAGGCAGAUUGCUUGAGCCCAGUAGUUCAGACCAGCUUGGGCAACAUAGCAAGACUCCCAUCUCAAAAAAAAGAAAAAAAAUUUAAAAGGUAAUCCCA
rnacentral:lncRNA from 10 species